rnacentral:sRNA from 1 species
GUGGAGACACACUUCACCUUCAAGGACCUACACUUCAAGAUGUUUGAUGUGGGUGGUCAGCGGUCUGAGCGGAAGAAGUGGAUCCACUGCUUUGAGGGCGUCACAGCCAUCAUCUUCUGUGUAGCCUUGAGCGCCUAUGACUUGGUGCUAGCUGAGGACGAGGAGAUGAACCGCAUGCAUGAGAGCAUGAAGCUAUUUGACAGCAUCUGCAACAACAAGUGGUUCACAGACACGUCCAUCAUCCUCUUCCUCAACAAGAAGGACCUGUUCGAGGAGAAGAUCACACACAGUCCCCUGACCAUCUGCUUCCCUGAGUACACAGGGGCCAACAAGUAUGAUGAGGCAGCCAGCUACAUCCAGAGUAAGUUUGAGGACCUGAAUAAGCGCAAAGACACCAAGGAGAUCUACACGCACUUCACGUGUGCCACCGACACCAAGAACGUGCAGUUCGUGUUUGACGCCGUCACCGACGUCAUCAUCAAGAACAACCUGAAGGACUGCGGCCUCUUCUGAGGGGCAGCGGGGCCUGGCGGGAUGGUGAGCCAGAGGGGCUGUGGCAGGGCGCUGGGGAAGAACUAAGCGGGCCUGGAGCCCCAGCAGGGGGUUCGGGGGGUGGGUAGGGGGGUGAACCUGGAGGGGAGAGGCAAUAGGUGACCAGGGGACAAGGGAGGAGAAGGCCCAGGGUGUGAAUCAGGAGGUCAAGUGAGUGAGGUGCAGGGCAUGGAGGAGGUCAUACAAGCAGGCCUGGCCCAGUGGUGCAGACAGAAGGGCUUGGCCUUGCCCUGGGACAGAACCAGAGGCCAUCCUGAUGUUCCCUGGAGAAAUCUCACCUCCUCACCCACCAGGCCAUUGGCCCAGCCUGCCGGAAGCUGGAUGCCAGCGGAGCCCAGCCCUGCUGCCCACUACCACCAGCUCCAUGUGCACCUCCAGCUCUUGCCCUCUGACUUGUCUGAGCGUCCUGGGCUUAGGCUGGCCCCACUGGCCCUGG